AACAUCGCUCUUUGUAAAAUAAUUAAGGUAUAAAGAGUUCUGCCUGCCCAGUGACGUAGUUAAACGGCCGCGGUAUUUUGACCGUGCAAAGGUAGCAUAAUCAUUUGCCUCUUAAAUAGAGGCUGGUAUGAAUGGCAAGACGGAGGUUAAGCUGUCUCUUUCUUAUAUCUUGAAUUUAAUAUUUUUGUGAAGAAGCGGAAAUUUGUUCGUAGGACGAGAAGACCCUAUCGAGUUUUAAUUAUACAUAUUUAUAAUAUUUAUUAUCUAAUAAGACUAAUUAGAUUAAGUUUUUGAAGGAAUAUUAUUAUUUUAAGGAUAAUAAUUAUAGGUAUAAAAAUUUUGAUUGGGGCAAUCAUGGAGAAAAAAUAUCCUCCAUUAAAAUAAUAAUAAAUAACAAUUUAAGUUAGAAGGACCCGCUGUAUAGCGAGUGAAGGAAUAAGUUACCGUAGGGAUAACAGCGUAAUUUUUUUGGAGAGUUCAUAUUGAUAAAAAAGUUUGCGACCUCGAUGUUGGAUCAAGAUUUCCUGGAGAUGCAGUAGUUUCCAGGGGUUGGUCUGUUCGACCAUUAAAAUCUUACGUGAUCUGA
rnacentral:rRNA from 12 species